UACAGAGGGUGCAAGCGUUGUUCGGAAUUAUUGGGCGUAAAGCGCGUGUAGGCGGCUUUGCAAGUCGGGUGUGAAAGCCCUCAGCUUAACUGAGGAAGUGCGCCCGAAACUGCAGAGCUCGAGUACCGGAGAGGAUGGUGGAAUUCCCCAAGUAGAGGUGAAAUUCGUAGAUAUGGGGAGGAACACCGGUGGCGAAGGCGACCAUCUGGACGGAUACUGACGCUGAGACGCGAAAGCGUGGGUAGCAAACAGG
rnacentral:rRNA from 4 species